AAUAUUGCGCAAUGGGGGAAACCUUGACGGAUCAACGCCGCGUGAAGGAUGAAGGUUUUCGGAUUGUAAACGUCUUUGAUGAGGGACGAACAAAAUGACGGUACCCCAAAAACAAAUCACGUCUACACACGAGCAGGCAGCCGCGGUAAUACGUAGGGGGCGAGCUUUGUCCGGAAUUACUGGGUGUAAAAGGGGUGUAGGCUGGAAGACAAGUCAGAUGUGAAAUACCGAGGCUUAACCUCGGGGCUGCAUCUGAAACUGUUUUUCUUGAGUGUCGGAGAGGAAAGUAGAAUUCCCAGUGUAGCGGUGAAAUGCGUAGAUAUUGGGAGGAACACCAGUGGCGAAGGCGACUUUCUGGACGAUAACUGACGCUGAGGCGCGAAAGCGUGGGGAGCAAACAGG
rnacentral:rRNA from 1 species